rnacentral:rRNA from 1 species
CAGCAGCCACGGGAAUACGUAGGUGGCAAGCGUUGUCCGGAAUCAUUGGGCGUAAAGGGCCCGCAGGCGGUUUCUUAAGUCUGAUGUGAAAGCCCCCGGCUCAACCGGGGAGGGUCAUUGGAAACUGGGAAACUUGAGUGCAGAAGAGGAGAGUGGAAUUCCACGUGUAGCGGUGAAAUGCGUAGAGAUGUGGAGGAACACCAGUGGCGAAGGCGACUCUCUGGUCUGUAACUGACGCUGAGGAGCGAAAGCGUGGGGAGCGAACAGGAUUAGAUACCCGUGUAGUCCCUGUCUCUUAUAC